rnacentral:rRNA from 1 species
GAUGAACGCUAGCGGCAGGCUUAAUACAUGCAAGUCGUGGGGCAGCGCAGGUAGCAAUACUGGGCGGCGACCGGCAAACGGGUGCGGAACACGUACACAACCUUCCGAGAAGUGGGGAAUAGCCCAGAGAAAUUUGGAUUAAUACCCCGUAACAUAACGAUGUGGCAUCACAUUGUUAUUAUAGCUUCGGCGCUUCUUGAUGGGUGUGCGGCUGAUUAGAUAGUUGGCGGGGUAACGGCCCACCAAGUCUACGAUCAGUAGCUGAUGUGAGAGCAUGAUCAGCCACACGGGCACUGAGACACGGGCCCGACUCCUACGGGAGGCAGCAGUAAGGAAUAUUGGUCAAUGGACGCAAGUCUGAACCAGCCAUGCCGCGUGAAGGAUUAAGGUCCUCUGGAUUGUAAACUUCUUUUAUCUGGGACGAAAAAAGGCGAUUCUUCGUCACUUGACGGUACCAGAUGAAUAAGCACCGGCUAACUCCGUGCCAGCAGCCGCGG